rnacentral:rRNA from 1 species
CUGGCGGCGUGCAUACACAUGCAAGUCGAACGAGNAAAGCAUCCUUCGGGAUGUGAGUAAAGUGGCGCACGGGUGAGUAACGCGUGGGUAACCUACCCCUUAAUCCGGAAUAACUUCGCGAAAGCGCUGCUAAUACCGGAUGCCGUCCGAAAGGCUGUGGCUUUUCGGAUGAAAGGUGACCUCUCCAUGGAAGUUGCCGUUUAGGGAUGGGCUCGCGUCCCAUUAGCUAGUUGGUAGGGUAAUGGCCUACCAAGGCGAUGAUGGGUAGCUGGUCUGAGAGGAUGAUCAGCCACACUGGCACUGAAACACGGGCCAGACUCCUACGGGAGGCAGCAGUGAGGAAUUUUGCGCAAUGGGGGAAACCCUGACGCAGCAACGCCGCGUGAGUGAAGAAGGCCUUCGGGUCGUAAAGCUCUGUCGGGUGGGAAAAAACACUUUCGGUCAAUAGCCGAAAAGACUGAUGGUACCACCAAAGGAAGCACCGGCUAACUCCGUGCCAGCAGCCGCGGUAAUACGGAGGGUGCAAGCGUUGUUCGGAAUUACUGGGCGUAAAGGGCGCGUAGGCGGUGUAGCAAGUCGGUUGUGAAAGCCCUGGGCUCAACCCAGGAAGUGCAUUCGAAACUGCUACACUUGAGUAUGGGAGAGGAGAGUGGAAUUCCCAGUGUAGAGGUGAAAUUCGUAGAUAUUGGGAGGAACACCCGUGGCGAANGCGACUCUCUGGACCAAUACUGGACGCUGANGUGCGAAAGCGUGGGGAGCAAACAGGAUUAGAUACCCUGGUAGUCCA